GCAGCUUUCCAAAGGAUUGCUGUUCCAUGACUCGAUAUUUCCAUGAGUCGAUGGUCCCUUCAAUAUCGACUCAUGGAGGUUUCACUGUAUCAUAACGUGGUUCCACAAAAUCGAAGCCUAUUAAACAACGCAGAAUCUUCUUCACAUUCUGGAAGAUCCCAAUCGGAUCAUAAAUGGUGACGAGACAUCGUUCCAGCUGAAUCCAAAAAGCAAAACCGUUUUUGCACUACAGCAAAGUAAACAUCACCACCAUGUUUUCCUUCUUUGCUUCCGAACGGUUUCAGAUCAUCAGGACUAUUCCCAUGGAAUCACAGCGCAAUUAAUUUCGAAAUGUGUUUAAAUGAACCAGCAGUAGCUUCGGACUCCAUGCUUGAAACACCAAAGUGCAAGAUCCAACCGAUUUGGAGAAGGAACUCCAGGCAGCCAAACAAACAAUCAAGAGAUGUGCGGAAUUCAUUGGAAGCGACAAAAUUAAAAAAAAUCAAAAGUGAUUUCGUCUAUUUGGAGAACGAUGAAGAUCAGAUUCUUCAGCACAUUUACACAGAACUACACUCGAACUACCCAGAAAUUGUUGAUUCGGUCACUGAACCAAAUAACGAAGCCAAAAUGCUCUGUAGUUUUGAUUACGGGUCGACAGCUGAAUUAAGACUUGUGUCCAAUGAAGUCAAAGGUGAUUUAAACAUAAUCAGGCAUUGCAGAAUUCGCUUUCAUUUGAGUAUGAAGCACAAUCAAAG